rnacentral:misc_RNA from 1 species
GCGCGGGUCGCGGCUGCGGUGCCGUCGGUGGCGAGGGAUGGAUCAGUGAAAAAUGGCUGGUGCCAGCGACUGGUUUAGCAUCGGAAGCACGGUGGUAUGUAAGACAUGUCACGAGCAGGAAAUCGAGGGCGAGGUGUUGGCCUUCGACCCACAGACAAAAAUGCUGAUACUCAAAUGUCCAUCGACGAGUGGUAGAUCCUCGUUAAACGAUGUACAUGUAGUAAAUUUAUCUCUCGUGUCCAAUGUUCAAGUGAUACGAGAAGUUAGCGCAACUACAAACGAACCACCACAGAGCCUUAAUUUACAAAGGCUAAACACGCGAGUCCGCAACCAGAUCGAAGAGAAGAAAAGGUUGGUUAUGGCUCUGCAGGCCGGAGUAUCUCCAGAAGGACAGAAAUUAUUUAUCGCAAUUUCAAAGACUAUCCAAGACAUUACGUGGAACGGAGCGAAUAUCGUUGUAUUUGAUAAUGUCACUAUUAGACCACCGUACAAAGUCGACAACGUUCACGGGAACGCAGAGUCUGGGGCGUAUAGACAUGUAAAAAAAGUGGUUGAGAAACACAUUAAAGAUACAGCGCAAGCUCAACAACAACGAGAAUUGCAACAGCAAACGCAAAAGGGAGCCGAGCUACAAUAAAGGUCCAAAAAGGCACUAUACUACAUCGCAGAGCGCUAAGACACACACAUUGAAGAAGCUCCAUUUGACCAGAGAUAGGAGGGGACAAGUUAACGAGACACUGAGCGGAAGACCGUGGCAGCGCGACUAGGCAGGCGCGCCUAUAGCGAAAAAUCGGAUAUCUUCGAGCGAACUCUCUCCAGCUGCUUGUUCGGAUGAAAAAAAAAGAGAAAGAGCAGACAGAACAAGAUAUAAAGUGCAGACUUCAACACAGAAAUUUCGCAUUCUGACCCGAGUAUUGUUAAUAGUAUCGCAUGUGCAGCAUUUUAUAAAAUACAGUCGGACGUACAAUUCGUGAUUAUUAGUCGCCAGCCUAGAAAUUUCACUGCGAGCGAGCGAGCGGCAGUCGAUUGCUGCGAGUGAACGGAAUCAUACUCGUUGAGAGCUAACUCUACCAGCGCUGGUUACUAUGAUGUACACGAAAUUGCGCCGUCACUCUUCGUCGAAAUACGUUUUAGCAGAGUGAUUUAUAAGACCGACUUCCUCCGAUUAAGCCCGUAUGAAACGGCUCGAGCUUUUACGCGCAGCGUCCGAGUACAAAGACGCGUCGCCAAGUCGGGACAAGACGCGCGGCCACCGACUUCCGCGAGGACGUUCCUACCAAGGUCUGGAGUAAGCGCCUUCGGCCCGAGUCUAAGAUCCGUUCAAAGAAUCCAGACGCGGCCUCAGGCUCCUCGACGUCGGUUGGAACGGACGUUGAGGCGCGACGCGCUUGAUUGCAAGGUCGUCACCUUUGUUUUGUAUCCACGCCGCGACUCGGCCAGAGACGCGGUGAACCUCCUCGACGGGUCGGUCGGCGGGUGCAUCUCUUGUCCCAAUUUCGCGAACGACUCUAGUUUUACAAUCACGGCGACCCCCGUCCCCGUUCUCAGGUGCGCGUCGCGUGCAACCGCGAACUCCUGCUUUUCAGAGAAAUUGACCGAUCACGAAAACAUUGACUGAGCACCAUGCGAUCUAUCAUUUUCAUGGCACGAGGCGCCUUCAGCCUCACGUGCGAUUACCGCCGCGCUCCCCGCUGCCCCUUGCGUACGCCGAGCCGCAGGAAUGUAAUUUAAGAAGGCCGCGAUACCUCGACUCGCGCAAGGACGAGCGCCGCUUUGUAUCGCAUCUCGCGAGCGGGAAGGGGAUUUCGCUCACUCUGUUAAGGGCCGGUUGUUCCAACUUCUUGGUAAGUUAACUGAUGGUUAAAUCAUAUGUUUGUCUUUGUUUUUCCUUCAACUUAGGCAAAGACAGACGUAUGAUUCAACUACCAGUUAACUUGCCAAGGAAUUGGAACAACCUGCCCUAAGCCCAGGAAGAAGUCGCUUCCCGUUUAAUGGAGUGAGCGAAGACUGUUCUUCACGUCGACGACGCAUCCCUUCUCUGCCCAUCACCGGUCCGAGGAACAGCUGAUGUUGUCCGACCAACGCAGUGUGCUAGCUCGAACGACACAGCCACAGUAGGUACAGGCCACUAGGAAUCGUCCGAAUCGGAGAAGAAAGGAGCCUCUUCCGAAUCGAUGCGCAGAAAUCGUUCCUUUCUUCGAGAAGAUAUCAAAGAUUAGUCGGUUGGCACACACUGGGAAUAGAUGAAGUCCGAGGAGUCCCUGGACACGUCCUCGUGUGGUGCCGUCGUUCUCGCAGAGAAAAAAAGAAAGAAAAAGAAAGACCCAAACUCGUCUCGUGCCCUUUUACCAUACGAACGGGGAGAUUCCGAGAUUGCGAAGGGAGAACAAGAGCGCGGGAGAUUGUAAGAAGAAUUAUACGAGAAAAGACAUAAAUAAAUGUAAUAUAAAUUCUGUA